rnacentral:tRNA from 1 species
GAUAGUGUGGCCGAGUGGUCUAUGGCGCUGGUUUUAGGCACCAGCCCUUCGGAGGCAAGGGUUCGAAUCCCUACACUGUCA